GUUUUGCAGAUGAUUGAAAAGUUCUAAUGUGCAUGUAAAAUAGCUUUUUAGAAUUGUCUAAAUAUCCUGCGUUAAUGAUGAAAAAAAGCAAAACAUUUCAGACUGUAUAGUGAGUGAUUAGCAAUUCAUUUUGCAAAAAUGUCUCAUGAUUCCCCUAAAGCUUUCUUGAAAAUUUGGGACACUUUUCCUGUUUAAUUCUUCAAAUGUAGGUUACCUUGCAACAUUGGUGAAGAGUGAAC